ACUCGAACAACCCUUCUACUACCGAUGCAAAAUAUUAAGAGGAUGUGAAAGCAAUAUUAUGUAUGCCGUGACACGGAAGCCAUUUCGCAGUCGAGACGGCCGUUAGACCGCUAACCAAUGAGAGAGCGCCAGAAAGCACCGGGCGCCGAAAAAGUAGACAAGAGAUACAAACGAACACACGCACUAAAUCAACAACAACGCAAAGCUAAAAAACAACUCUAACUUUAUUCAAACCGUAGAGGUGAGCUCCCUGUGUGUCAGAUCAGGGCCGUAGCAGAAGUUAAAGAAUACCGAUUCCACUAUUUGUUAUUGUUUAUAAUUGAAAAUUCAGCGGUUUAUUCGCAAGGACACUUUAAAAUAACGAUCUUCGAAUUAAUUCUGAUACGUUAUUGACGAUAUUUGAUUAAAAAUAUCUUGGUUACU